AUUGAACGCUGGCGGCAUGCCUUACACAUGCAAGUCGAACGGCAGCAUGGAGAGCUUGCUCUCUGAUGGCGAGUGGCGAACGGGUGAGUAAUGCAUCGGAACGUACCGUGUAAUGGGGGACAACGUAGCGAAAGUUACGCUAAUACCGCAUACGACCUGAGGGUGAAAGCAGGGGAUCGCAAGACCUUGCGUUAUACGAGCGGCCGAUGUCAGAUUAGCUAGUUGGUGAGGUAAAGGCUCACCAAGGCGACGAUCUGUAGCGGGUCUGAGAGGAUGAUCCGCCACACUGGGACUGAGACACGGCCCAGACUCCUACGGGAGGCAGCAGUGGGGAAUUUUGGACAAUGGGGGCAACCCUGAUCCAGCCAUGCCGCGUGAGUGAAGAAGGCCUUCGGGUUGUAAAGCUCUUUCGGCCGGGAAGAAAUCGCACAGGCUAAUACUCUGUGUGGAUGACGGUACCGGCAUAGAAGCACCGGCUAACUACGUGCCAGCAGCCGCCGUAA
rnacentral:rRNA from 1 species